GGUCCCCAUGCUGGCCUAAGAGCUCAUCGCCAUAUUAAGAAAGGAAAAGGAGAGAUGCCGGAGCUAAAAAUAAGAGCAGAUGAGUCGGAGACCCUCCACAGCUAAACAAGGAAGGCCACAGAAAAUCUCAGAAACAUGGCAGGAGUGACGCCAAGAGGGACAGCUGUCGCUGCAGCAGGAGAGGUCGGAGCUAGCCUAGGCACAGCACGUUAGAGCUGGAGAGACCUCAGAAGCCUGUAUCCUGGGCUCCCUGCAGAGUGACUAACGUGGGAAAGCUCCACGCCCAGAGCGAAGAGGGCCAGGUGAGACGGGGAGGCCUGCCCGGAAGCAGAUGACCCGGGUGAUGUCCAGCCCGAAUUUGUCACUUCUGCAUUCCAAGGGAGGGGGACACAUUGGGACAGAGAUGCUGGAACAUAAAACUUGUUCCAUCUUGAAUCUGACCUUUUGUACCCCCGAGAGUGUGAGAUGGGACUCUGGUGGCUGAGCCUGCUCCAUCUCCGGGUCCUCUCCUGCAUUAUCGGACAUUGCCAUCCAUCCCGUUCCCUCUCGUUGCCCUCUCUGGCUCCAGUCCUACCCCUCCCCUUUCCAGCAACCGCCUCCACUGCUCUCUCUCGAUGGUUUGUUCUCUCUAUUCAAUUUCCUUCCCUUCAGGCCCUUGGACUUAAGAAGCCUCAGCCACUGCUAUCAAAUGACCGUGAGUUAGGACCUCUGUAUUUUUAACCCACCAGACACCCGAAGCUCCUGCUACUGAAACCCGAGGAGCUGGCCCCUCUGUGCUCCCGCUUCCCACCUCACUCACAUACACCCUGGCCCAUUGAUCUUCCAGGGUCUGGUUCAGCCAUGUCAGCAACUGGGGAAAGACCCCAGGCUGAUAUAGCACUGUCCCUAGGAGACCUUGUGUUGGAAGAGGGAGGGGAAGAGGGAGAGCGACCUCUGCGGAGGGGCCUGAUGUAGGGAAAACAGCUGGUUAUACUCAUGACGGCCUUCUCUCGAUAGCCUGUCGCCUGUCACCCUCCAGACCCACCCGGGGCCCUUCCCCAUCACUAUCCUAUGUUUUUGUGUAUUUUUGGCCCCACCCUCAUUGAAAGAAUAGUCUGAAAGUGAUUAAGGGUACACGUUCUGAAAA